ensembl:lncRNA
UGCACAACAAUAAAUCUUUCUCUGUCACCAGUAGAGGGCAGAAGUCUUGAUCUAGUAACAAGCCUCUUCCCUUUUGCUUUAGUCUGCUGAGAGCACACAUUCUUCUUCACACAACCCAAACUCUUUGCAACUUCAAGACAGCUGUGGCUGCGAGGAUAGAGCAGAAAUAAGGUGGAGAUGACUGGCAUAAAGUGCGUGGCUGAUAUACAGAUGAACAUCUGACAUGCCAGGGGAAGGAGGAGUACUGUGCAUGCUGUACUGUGGAUUUGACAAGCAGAUAGUCUCAGUGCUUGGGUGUGGUGCGAAAACAGGCGGUGCAUGAUGGUGUGAUCUAGCAUGUGGAUGUGGGUCGGAGAAUCAGUGGCUGAUCAUUAGGGCACUAAGUGUAAACAGCAGCAGGCCCACAGGUGAAGACCUAACGUGGCCUCCUCACAGAAGAUCAAUAGCCCAUCCACAGAGAGCAGCACACAUGCACAACACAUAUCCUUAGCAACAGUCUUUGAGAUCCAGCACCAGAUUUCCCAUUAAAAAUGAGCAUUCUGUCAUUAUUUACUCAUUGUUUAUUUACUAGUGAAAGAGA